AUGAACGAUUUCUCAACGACAAUAUCCGCAAAAGAACCAAUAAUUUCUUCGCCUCCACCCUCUAUCUUCUUCUUCUUUUUUUCUCUAUCUUCUCCACUAAAAUUCUCUGCGGUUCGGUUUUUUACCCGAACCGUUCUCUACCCCACUCUCUCUCAACUUCCUCACUUCGCUAAACGAACUACGCGAAUUUUCACUAUCACCAAAACCUUUCAAUUCUCAAUUUGCGUUAAUCGUUAUCAUCACUUUUUUGAUCAAUCCAUUUCACAGUUUUAG